rnacentral:lncRNA from 1 species
AAAAAAUUCAAAAUUAACUCAUCCUAAAUUAUUCCUGAUUCUUAUUUUGCAGUAGUUUAUUAAGGAAAAAACACUUUAAUUAAUAAAAAAAGAAACUUAAAUCCCUCUCUUUUCAUUUCAUUCACUAUUCCAUGGAUCCUAGAAACAGGGAGGCCCCCAAAAGUAGCAUCAGAAACAUUCAAAUGCCCUAAAAAUCAAGACCUAAUUGUUCCAGAAACCAACCACGCUGUUCCAGGAUAAGGAUUUUAAAAACUAAUCAGUAAAAAAAUAAAAGGAAUAAAACUUAAAACUCACCUAGAAGAAGAUGCAAACCAGAUCUCAGAUCUGAACUAGUCAUAGAUCUCUAAAUUACCAAAAACUCUCAAAUUAAAGAAACCAACAUAGACAUGAACAAAGAAAUCAGGUAUAAAAUUGCACUAAAAACACUACAGAUUUCCAUGGCUUUUUUCAUAUCCAGUUAAACUUGCAGCAGAGAAUUUCUGAAGAAGAAAAUAUGCAGAUAUGGUUAAGCAGAAGAGAAGAGAAGGUUGUUUUGUUUUGGAAGGAUGAGUAGAGUAGAGUAGCCCUAGGUAGUAGGUAGGGCUUAGAAACCCUAACGGGCCGGUGAAGAAAAAAUGGACAUUAGUGGUUUGUAUUUGAAUAAUGAUUAAUUGACGCGUAUCUUGCACAAAUGGAAAACACCAAAUAGAACACAGAUGUCCAUUUUCUUUUUGGGUAAAGUAGGAUCUAUGAUUGUUAGGGCAAGGAAAUAAUUGCAAAACAGGAAGGACAAUAUGCUUUUUUUCCCGUUAUCUUUCCCUCCCGGUACUCUCUUUCUCUCUCUCUCUCUCUCUGUCUCUCAUUCUUGUUUCUUGCUCUUCUUAAUUAGAUACCAAUACUGUUGACUCAACCUAAGGAUAAAUGGAUAAAUGGAGCGAGCAAUA